rnacentral:misc_RNA from 1 species
UUAAUAUAACUAAUAUAUAUUAUUUUUACACAAGCACGAUUUUUUUACAAAAAAUAAAAUAUAUAAUUAUGUGCCCAUUUUUAUUACAUAAUUCAUUAAAGUUUUUCUAUGCAAUAUUGCGUUUCAUGAAAUUAAAAUAUUACAAAUUUAACUAUAAAAUACUGUAGUAUCGUGGACAAAAGGCCUAAGAUAUCGGCCGAACCAGACGCUAAAGACAGUGUUAGUUGAGACGCCGGCGAGAACGAAUGCAAAAGGCGUACAGUGUGAGUUGAGAAGCGAGAGCGUGCGAGUGCAGAAGCCGAAGACUAGAGUUGUAGAGUUGAGAGAGUCAGUGAGAGUUGCGGAGUUGCAUGAGUUGCUAGCGUUGUAAAGAGAUCGAGUUGUUAGAGUUAUAGAGUUGCGAGAGUGAUUUGAGUAGAAUAAGAUUUUUGCGUUUAGUUCAAGUUGAACAUUUAUAGUUCUCUGUCUAAUUAAUCUCUGUUAUUUUUAUUUAUCUUAAAUAAAUAGUAUUAGGAGAAUUCUACAAAUCUAAAUUAUCCUAAUCCUAUUCUUUUCCGAUACUACAAUACCUUAAUUUU